GGGGCGGGGGGCUGCGCAGCGCGGAGGGGGGUUCGAAGGAGGGGGGCGCGCCCCACGGACACGCCGGGCCCCAUGGAUGCGGUGCGAACGCAGCGUGAAUACAGCCGGGUGACUGCAGCACCGGGACCGGGACCAACGGGACGUGCGCUGCGCCUGGGGACGCGGCCGGGGAUGCGCCCCACAGCGGGGAUGUGCCCUAUAGCAGGGAUGUGCCCUAUAUACGGGAUGUGCCCUAUAGCAGGGAGGUGCCCUAUAGAUGGGAUGUGCCCUAUAGCCAGGAGGUGCCCUAUAGCCGGGAUGUGCCCUAUAGCCGGGAGGUGCCCUAUAGAUGGGAUGUGCCCUAUAGCUGGGAUGUGCCCUAUAGCCGGGAUGUGCCCUAUAGAUGGGAUGUGCCCUAUAGAUGGGAUGUGCCCUAUAGCAGGGAGGUGCCCUAUAGAUGGGAUGUGCCCUAUGGCUGGGAUGUGCCCCAUAGCCAGGAGGUGCCCUAUAGCUGGGAUGUGCCCUAUAGACGGGAUGUGCCCUAUGGCUGGGAUGUGCCCUAUAGCAGGGAUGUGCCCUAUAGCUGUGAGGUGCCCUACAGCCGGCACAGCGGUGCCGCAUCCCACGCCGUGCCCCACAGCCGUGCCGCACAGCGGGCACCGAGCAGCGGCGGCAGAGGCCCCGUACGUCAC